rnacentral:lncRNA from 1 species
AUGUUCACAGAUUGUCAGGAAAUUCCAAUCUUAUUACGGCUGAUGCCUUCUCUUCAUCAAGGUUGCAUCGAAAUCAGAGAAGCUUACGUGGUAGUUAGAAGAUUAGGUGAGUUGAAAGGGAAUGAUGGGAUGCAAUGUCAAUGCUUUUAUUUUCGAAGGAAUUUCUCAUGCUGCCAUUCUCAAUAUUUAAGUCCCUGUUUGGUCUUGGAGUUGGGUAGCUCUACUCUGGCUUCUGCAUCACACGAGGACUUAGGGAGCCAGCCUCUGCCUGGAGGCACAAUGCAACCUUCCCUGGGAUCCUGCUGCAUCUCCAGCAUGAAGGCCGAGGCACCCCUGAAACCAGAUGUCCUGUCUCCUCCAAAAGUCUUUUGCGGUGGUGGAGAAACACCGCUCAACCUCUUGUGUAGAGAGCAUUACUCUGCUUCUUCCCUCCUACCUGUCCUCCCUUUUUUUCUGCUAUAACAGACUUCGUGGUCCAUUUCAAAACACUCAAAUUAUUAAGUGUUGAGAAAAAAGUUAACAUUUUCUUAGGGGCAAGGAAGAGUUGGUCUCUAAAUUCUCUUAGGAAAAAAUUUGAAGAAAGGAAGAAAAAUAAAAUAGCUUUCCCUUUCAAACAGUCUUUCAUUCACAUCAUACCUACAAAAAAAAUUUCAUACUUUUAUGUAGGAAAAAAAUCAUGUGAAAAAAAGCUUCGAGAAAAACCUGGGGAAAUUAUUACCAUGUAUAUGAUAAACAGAGAGUUUUUACAAGUCAAAAUGCAAAAGACAGUAUUCCAUAAAAAGUUGGCAAAGAACACAAGCAACCAAUCUAGAGGAAACAAUAUAAAUUAUCAUUAAAUAUGAAACAUUGCUUACCCUCUCUAGAAAUUUUAGGAUUGCAAACUAAAGUAACAACCAUCAUUUCAUACCAACCAUAUUGGCUUUUUUUUUUUUUUUUCUCAGUCAGUCUCGGGAGGUGGGUGUGGGGUGACGGGCAUUAAGGAGGGCACAUGAUGAGAUGAGCACUGGGUGUUAUACUAUAUGUUGGCAAAUUUAAUUAAUGAAUUAAUGAAUUAAUUAAUUAAUUUAUUUAUUUAUAUUUUUUUGGCAAAUUGAAUUUAAAUAAAAAAAAAGUCAAUCUCAAAAUUUGGGGUAAGGACUAUGGUGAGACAAGUUACCUGCCCAAGGAACAAAAAAUUCAAUAAUCACAAAAAAUAACAUUUUUGGUGGAAAUUAAUCUAAAAAAGUCUAUGGUGAACAAAAUGUCAUAAAGAUUUUUUAAUAAAGAUUUUAUUUAUUUAUUUGACACACAGAGACAGAUAGAGAGCACAAGCAGGGGGGAACGAGAACAGGAGAGGGAGAGGGACAAGCAGAUAUCGUCUGAGCAGAGAGCCCGACUGGGGGCUCCAUCCCAGGACCCUGAGAUCAUGACCCAAGCCGAAGGCAGAUGCUUAACUGACUGAGCCACUUAAGUGCCCCCAAAAUGUCAAAAUUUUAAAUAAAGGCAGUAUUCAGCCCUGCAUUUUCUAUGACCUUAAUCCUGGCCUGCACCUAGUGGUGAAUAUUAGUAGAAACAAUACUCUGUUACUGUCAAAGGCCUACAAAUUGGUGGACAAUUUGGCAAUAUAUUUCCACAAUUGAAAUAUACGUAGCUCUUUUUAUAAAAAUCCUACUUUUGGGAAUUUAUCAUAAUGAAGCA